rnacentral:rRNA from 1 species
AUUGAACGCUGGCGGCAGGCUUAACACAUGCAAGUCGAGCGGGGUUAUGGUGCUUGCACUAUCACUUAGCGGCGGACGGGUGAGUAAUGCUUAGGAAUCUGCCUAUUAGUGGGGGACGACAUCUCGAAAGGGAUGCUAAUACCGCAUACGUCCUACUGGGUAAAGCAGGGGGUCACUUGUGACCUUGCGCUAAUCGAUGAGCCUAAGUCGGAUUAGCUAGUUGGUGGGGUAAAGGCCUACCAAGGCGACGAUCUGUAGCGGGUCUGAGAGGAUGAUCCGCCACACUGGGACUGAGAAACGGCCCAGACUCCUACGGGAGGCAGCAGUGGGGAAUAUUGGACAAUGGGGGGAACCCUGAUCCAGCCAUGCCGCGUGUGUGAAGAAGGCCUUAUGGUUGUAAAGCACUUUAAGCGAGGAGGAGGCUCUUUUGGUUAAUACCCAGAAUGAGUGGACGUUACUCGCAGAAUAAGCACCGGCUAACUCUGUGCCAGCCGCCGCGGUAA